rnacentral:lncRNA from 1 species
GAAAUAAAUUGUUUUGUGAAAGCUGUGAAAGGUCUUACUUUUGUAUUGGUGAUUGUGUAUGGGUCUGAUACAGAAGCAAAGAGUGGGGCUUGUAGCAAAUCCUGCUCAGGGACAAAUUUUGAAAAGUGAAAGAAUUUUAAUCCAUGGUCUAUAUAGACUUCUUUGUACUUGUAAAUUGCUAUUAGCCCUCACCCAUCAAAGUACUGCAAGUGCUGACUACUUCUGCGCAACAUCAGAGAGAUUGUGCUUUCUCCUGCUUUAUUCUACAUACUUAGGAAGAGAGGCCUUUCUCCUCUGUUUGCUGCAAAGAGAGCUGGUAGCCACUAGAGGGGAGGAGACUGCCGGCUUUCCUGAGUGCUUCACGCUACAGCUUGAAGGUGCAGAAGCUGUCACAAGACUGGUUGCCCAACGAAAUGGUUUUUAA